UUUUUCUUUUGCAGAAGAAAGGCUGGGCAGCUUUAUCUCCCUUUCCUUUCCUUUAAAUCUGCAAACUUUUGACUUCCAUUUGCUGUGGGAUUCUUGUUGAUCUAAUAUGAUUUUCUUCAAUGCUUCUUUCCCACAUGUCCAUCUAGGAUUUCCCUGUUGUUUUUUUGUUCCUUAAAACCCUUUUUGCAUCUUUGGCUUUAUCCAAUGCUUCCUUAGCUUUUUCUUUAAAUAUCGAUAGGAUUAUCCCCUCAUUUGCUCCUCUGACAAAGUCUAUCCAUUUGAUAUCACCGUGAUGUGAGAAAAGGAUCU